GGCCCGCACAAGCGGAGGAACAUGUGGUUUAAUUCGAUGAUACGCGAGGAACCUUACCCGGGCUUGAACUGUAGGCGAACGAUUCAGAGAUGAAGAGGCCCUUCGGGGCGCCUAUGGAGGUGCUGCAUGGUUGUCGUCAGCUCGUGCCGUGAGGUGUCGGCUUAAGUGCCAUAACGAGCGCAACCCUUGUUCGUAGUUGCCAUCGGUUAAAGCCGGGCACUCUGCGAAGACUGCCUCCGUAAGGAGUGAGGAAGGUGGGGAUGACGUCAAAUCAGCACGGCCCUUACGUCCGGGGCUACACACGUGUUACAAUGGCAUGUACAGAAAGCGGGGUGUAUGCAAAUACGCUCGAAUCCCUAAAACAUGUCUCAGUUCGGACUGGGGUCUGCAACCCGACCCCACGAAGCUGGAUUCGCUAGUAAUCGCGCAUCAGCCAUGGCGCGGUGAAUACGUUCCCGGGC
rnacentral:rRNA from 1 species